rnacentral:rRNA from 1 species
UUAGAGUUUGAUCAUGGCUCAGGACGAACGCUGGCGGCGUGCCUAAUAUAUGCAAGUGGAGCGACGAACCAGGGCUUGCCCUGGGGCAAAGCCGCGAACGGGUGAGUAACACGUGGGUAACCUGCCCCGAUGACUGGGACAACCCGAGGAAACUCGGGCUAAUACCGGAUGUGUCCGGCGAGCCUCGGCUCGCCGAGCAAAGGAAGCUUCGGCCUCCGCUUCGGGAGGGGCCCGCGAGCUAUUAGCUUGUCGGUGAGGUAACGGCUCACCGAGGCGACGAUGGGUAGCUGGUCUGAGAGGACGAUCAGCCACACUGGGACUGAGACACGAGCUAGACUCCUACGGGAGGCAGCAGUGGGCAAUCUUGCGCAAUGCGCGAAAGCGUGACGCAGCAACGCCGCGUGAGGGAAGAAGGCCCUCGGGUUGUAAACCUCUUUCAUGGGGGACGAAGGCACGACCGGUGAACAGCCGGCCGGGCUGACGGUACCCCCAGAAGAAGCUCCGGCUAACUACGUGCCAUCAGCCGCGGUAAUACGUAGGGGGCUAGCGUUGUCCGGAAUCAUUGGGCGUAAAGCGCGCGUAGGCGGCCCGAUAAGUCCGCUGUAAAGUCCAGGGCUCAACCCUGAAGGCCGGUGGAUACUGUCGGGCUAGAGUCCGGAAGAGGCCAGUGAAUUCCUGUUGUAGCGGUGUAUGCGGAGAUAUCACGAGGACACCAUAGCGAGGCAGCUCGUUGGGACGGUACUGACGCUGAGGUGUGAAAGCGUGGUGCGCGAACAGGACUAGAUACCUGUAGUCCCGCCGUAACGAUGGCUCUUAGGUGUGGAGGUGUCGACUCCCCCGUGCCGCGCUAA